AUCUGUGUCACCACCAGGUUGACAACAAUAUAUAUAUUGCUUUAUAUAGGCCUACACAUAGAAAGAGAGACAGAGACAUUUAUACAGUAUUAUUAUUUUUUCAUUAUUUCCCUGUUUUGAAUACAACUAGAUCAACAACUUCUGAAACUCCAAUAAUACUACCUGCAAGUGCUGCUGAAAGAAAAAUAACCCUAACAGCCUUUAAAUUUACUACAUAGAUUCUAAUGCUGACAACAUCAUUUAGAUCUAGAUGCUGCCUGAAGAUUUCAUGUCUGUGGCAUUUUACUUCUCGAGAAAAGAUCUUUUCCCUUUGCAACUUCUGGUGUGGCUAGAGAGGCCAAUCCUUGAUACACAGCUGUAGUCACAGGUUGAGCACAUGUAAUCACCAGGCACCAUUGCAUUGUCACCUUUCUUCCUGCUGCUGUUGUGUAUGGCAUCUGCAAUCCGAGACCCUUCCUUUAUGCUCUCUCCAUGUGGAUCUAUCCAGUGCCACCUUUUCCCAGCUGCUAGUGUCGAUUUUGAAGAUGCACACUAUGAUAAACUCAAUGCAGUUGACUACAAUAAUCUCCAUGACCACAUUGUUUCAACAAGAACCUGUGUGCAUCACACAUUGUAAGGGUCGAAAUUGAAAAAAAAAUAUUUGUAAGCUAUGUGCCAAAAAUGCUCCUAAUAUUCAAUGAUGAGCUCUGACCAGGAUAACAAUCACACAUUGUGUCCGGAUGGCACUACAUCUGGGUAUCACUUCAAAAUAUCAUAGCAAGAGAGCAGCCAUAACAAAAAGUACAACCAGACCAUUACUAUUAUUAUGGAUACAGUGAUGGUCAAUACUGUUGUUGUGUUUUCAAUAAUAGUUUAAUUGCUUUUUAGUUAGUUACAAUGCUAUUAAUAUUAAAAGGUAUUUUUU